UACGGGGGGAGCAAGCGUUGUUCGGAUUUACUGGGCGUAAAGGGCGGGUAGGCGGCCACCGCAAGUCAGUGGUGAAAUCUCUGGGCUUAACCCAGAAAGGUCAACUGAUACUGCGGGGCUAGAGUGCAGAAGGGGCAACUGGAAUUCUCGGUGUAGCGGUGAAAUGCGUAGAUAUCGAGAGGAACACCUGCGGCGAAGGCGGGUUGCUGGGCUGACACUGACGCUGAACUGCGAAAGCUAGGGGAGCGAACGGG
rnacentral:rRNA from 1 species